ACUCCUACGGGAGGCAGCAGUGGGAAUAUUGGACAAUGGGGGAAACCCUGAUCCAGCCAUGCCGCGUGUGUGAAGAAGGCCUUCGGGUUGUGAAAGCACUUUCAGUUGGGGAGGAAAGGGUUGAAUGGCUUAAUACCUAUCAGCUGUGUACGUUACCCACAGAAGAAGCACCGGCUAACUCCGUGCCAGCAGCCGCGGUAAUACGGAGGGUGCAAGCGUUAAUCGGAAUUACUGGGCGUAAA
rnacentral:rRNA from 1 species